CAAUAAUAGCAACGAUGAUAACUAGCGCCUGAACUUGUUGUUCCAAAGUGCCUGACAUGAAUGGAAUCAUAUAAACCUCAACUCAACCCAAUGGAAUUAGCAUGUUGUUACCGUGACGGUUUCCACAUGUGGAAACUGAAGCACAGAGACAUUAAGUAAUUUUCUUAAGGUUCAAAACAAUACAUCAGAGGAAAAAGAAAAGGGUGCCAAAAAAGGAAUAGAGAAAAAGAGCCUUGAGAAAUUGAAAAUAUUAUUGCCAAAAUUUUAAAAAUCUAUUUAAACAUUGAAAGCAAUCUCCUAGAGUGUAAGAUGAAAAUACAAAGAGUUGGUAAAUGUGAGCACAAGGAUAAAAGACAUGGAGGAAUGAUGGAAGAAAUCCAACACCUGGCUAGGAAGAUUUCACAAAAAAGGCAAUUGAAACGAAGAGAUAGAUAGAAAUGAUCAAAGAAAUAAUAGAAGGGAAUUUCCCAAAAUGUACCUUUAUAUUUAAAGUGCCUACCAAGUGUGGAACAGGAUGAAAAAGACACCCACUCAGUCACAUCUUAGUGACACAUCAGGACACUGAGGAUAAAGAGAAGAUCCUGAAACUUCCAGAGAGGGAGAAAGGUCACCGAUAAAAGAAACAACGUC
rnacentral:lncRNA from 1 species